GAAAGGGAAUAACACUCGAAAUGUAUAUAAGAAAUACUCAAGUUAAUUAAAAAAAAAAAAAAAAGAGUGUGAGUUUCCUGGGCUUGACUCUCCUGCAUUCUCAGCGCAGACACUUCCUGCUGCAUGUAUUUGAGGACUGUGUAAUGGCCAGUGUCCCAAGAGAGGAUUAUACUAUCUUAUGAGGUUUUGACGAUGGGAUUUGAGUCCAGGAGCAUGAGAAGGGGAAAUCAAAGAACAGACUCCAGCACUCAAGACUGUUGGAGCACUGAGAAAGAAACAACAUAGUUCCACUGGACAGGAUGGACAGAAGGACAGAAGCCUGGAGGAUGCUCCAGAGACUACACUACUACAUCUCCCAAUGCCCGUGUGACAUUUGAAAAACAAAUGUUGUCAUAAGAGGUCACACUUCCUCAAAUGAAGUCACUCUUCUCUCCCUCUGGUACUGAUACAUAUAAGUUAUACAUGGAGAAACAAGUCUUUUUUGCUACAGCUACGACCAGAAAAUGAGAGAUGCCUUCUGCACUUUAAUUCGUUUAACUCGCCUAAAAAGAAUGGAUGGUGUUGAACCCCCAGUUUGGCCAAAGCUUGCUCGGGUCCACAUCAAGUCACAAAUGUUUCUGAAAGGUAAUGAAGGGGGAGAGUCCCUUGCACUUGGUUCUGGUUCCAAACCUCUCCACUGAGGUCCUCUAACUGAAGCAGAACUGGUGACAGAUGUAAAUUCCAUGGAUAAUCAAAGCAGGGGCCGGGGCAUGGUUUGAGAAGGACCACAAGCAGGUUUUGGUGCAGACUAUUUUCCCUGAUGCCGUGAAGAACACAUUCUCUGUCCACACAAAUUUUAGUUCCCCAGAGAUGACCUUCUCAUUUCUCAGUGUAGAAAUGUGACAGAGGCCUUCCACUUACCCAGGCCACCUGACCCACAAUGCACCUGUCAGACUCGGCAAGCAACAGCCCUGGGGUAGGAUGUGGGGAAGGACAAAGGUUUUGAAAUGUGGAGUUAUUUGGGUGUCUGGGGAAUUUGACAGAACUUGUGACUGCUCAUAGGAGGGAGGCUGGUAACUUAAAUAAACAUGAAUCAUUCCAGAACAAA